rnacentral:rRNA from 1 species
GACUGCGGAUGACAUUA